UCUUCGGAGAGUUUGAUCCUGGCUCAGGACGAACGCUGGCGGCGUGCCUAAUACAUGCAAGUCGAGCGGAUGGAAGGAAGCUUGCUUCCUGAAGUUAGCGGCGGACGGGUGAGUAACACGUGGGCAACCUGCCCCUAAGAUCGGGAUAACUUCGGGAAACCGGAGCUA
rnacentral:rRNA from 1 species